ensembl:lncRNA
CCCUUCCUUCCAGUCAGACAGGCAUGAAUCUCAAGAAAUAACACAUACAAUGACACUAUUUCUACUGGACCUUACAAAAACUCAUCAGCACCUUUAUUUUCGGAACAAAAUGGCAUUCUAUAAAAAAUACAAAACUUAUUCUCACUAAAGGGCUACAACUUGUCAAGUGAGAAAAUUCGAAAAAAAACUAGCAAACAUGUUAACUACUUAUAAGAGAGUGAAAGACAGGCGCCGUGCAACUGGGGAAGGGAAGAUCACCUGGGAGUACUAUACACUAAUGGAUGAGUUAUUUGGGUCAUCGGGGAUCGGUACUGCACCACCUGGCACCAUUCACUCCACACCUCUGGGUUUGGAAGAGACCUCUUCCACAAGCAGGCCCACAACGUCUUCUCUUCAAGACCAGCCGGUAGGUGCUAGUAUGGAUGAACAGCCAGGAACUGCUACCAUACAAAAUGCAAACAUCACAAGAAGGCAAAGACGACCACAACCCUUACAAUUCCUGGACGCUUAUGAAGAGCAUGCAGAGAGAAGGACUGCUGUGCUUGAGUCCCUGGUAAGGCCAGAUCUGGAGAGAUGGCGGCGACUUAAGGAGAGGCGGAGAAGGUCCUUCGAAAAAAAGAUGGUGACCAGCUUGGGAACAAUUGUGGAGGAGCUAAAAAACAUGGGGAAAAGACAAGAGCAAAUUAUGCAUCUAUUACAGAACCCACAUGAACCCCAAUAAAAUUAUAAUCUAAAGAUGUUAUCUCUUUUGAUUUACACCUUUCCCCAAAAUGUCCUAUGUUUUUUUUUCCCAAAUAACAAUUUCUAAUGACAAACUAAUUUUGUUCAAUAAAACAAAUUUCUUUAUUUCA